UACGUAUGGUGCAAGCGUUAUCCGGAUUUACUGGGCGUAAAGGGAGCGCAGGCGGUGCGCCAAGUCUGAUGUGAAACCCCGGGGCUCAACCCCGGGCAUGCAUUGGAAACUGGCGGGCUGGAGUGCCGGAGAGGUAAGCGGAAUUCCUAGUGUUGCGGUGAAAUGCGUAGAUAUUAGGAGGAACACCAGUGGCGAAGGCGGCUUACUGGACGGCAACUGACGCUGAGGCUCGAAAGCGUGGGGAGCAAACAGG
rnacentral:rRNA from 1 species